rnacentral:rRNA from 1 species
CCUACGGGGGGCUGCAGUGAGGAAUAUUGGUCAAUGGGCGGAAGCCUGAACCAGCCAUGCCGCGUGAAGGAUGAAGGCGUUCUGCGUUGUAAACUUCUUUUAUAAGGGAAGAAACCUACGAUUUCUAUUGUAGCCGACGGUACCUUAUGAAUAAGCACCGGCUAACUCCGUGCCAGCAGCCGCGGUAAUACGGAGGGUGCAAGCGUUAUCCGGAUUUACUGGGUUUAAAGGGUGUGUAGGCGGGCUGUUAAGUCAGUGGUGAAAUCUCUGGGCUC